rnacentral:rRNA from 1 species
UAGGGAAUCUUCCGCAAUGGACGCAAGUCUGACGGAGCAACGCCGCGUGAGUGAAGAAGGAUUUCGGUUCGUAAAACUCUGUUAUUAGGGAAGAACAAAUGUGUAAGUAACUAUGCACGUCUUGACGGUACCUAAUCAGAAAGCCACGGCUAACUACGUGCCAGCAGCCGCGGUAAUACGUAGGUGGCAAGCGUUAUCCGGAAUUAUUGGGCGUAAAGCGCGCGUAGGCGGUUUUUUAAGUCUGAUGUGAAAGCCCACGGCUCAACCGUGGAGGGUCAUUGGAAACUGGAAAACUUGAGUGCAGAAGAGGAAAGUGGAAUUCCAUGUGUAGCGGUGAAAUGCGCAGAGAUAUGGAGGAACACCAGUGGCGAAGGCGACUUUCUGGUCUGUAACUGACGCUGAUGUGCGAAAGCGUGGGAAUCAAACAGG